AGUUACUCAACACAUCCAAGAUGAGCCUCCAGGUUUGCCACUGUGGUUGGUCCAAAGUUACAACUCACCACGGCCUGAGGACUCACCAGGGGAAGAUGGGUUGUACACCCAGGGGAAUGAGGAUUUCUGAGGGUGACCAAUACACAUUUAACCGUUCCCAUUCUACACUUAACUUCAUGGUACCUCCACUCAAACUAGGAGAUAUUUUCAGCAAUUCUAUAAUGUCGGACUCAUCAGACAAGAGCCUCCAGGUUUGCCACUGCGGUUGGUCCAGUUAUACAUCUUACCAGGGUCUGAGAAUUCAUCAGGGAAAGAUGGGAUGCACACCGAAGGGAAUGAGGAUCCCAGAGAGCGAGCAGUACCUCUGGAGAAACCAGUGGGAAGAUACUCAUCUGAAGGCCAUCGGACCAAGUCACAGUACUCCAGUCAAGAAGGAGAGCGUGCCUGCAUCUCGAAACCUCCAAACAAAUCCCAACACCGCACAAGCUGCAGUAGUAGGAUUAAUCCAAUCAUGGGUUGAAAUUCAGCAGCAAUCUGCACAAACGGGUGCAAACCUGGACAUGUAUCCUACAACCACAGACACCACAGUGAAGGAGACAAAACAUGAUUGUAUGUAUUAUAAUGGUGUGCAUUCAUAA
rnacentral:lncRNA from 1 species